CACGCACACACGCGCGGCAUAUCAAUAAGCGGAGGAAAAGAAACUAACAAGGAUUCCCUAGUAACGGCGAGUGAAGCGGGAAGAGCUCAAAUUUGAAAUCUUCAAGGUUCUACCUUGACGAAUUGUAGUUUAUAGAAGUGUUUUCUGUUAGUGGAGUGGCAAAAGUUCUUUGGAAUAGGACAUCAUAGAGGGUGAGAAUCCCGUAUUUGGUCAUUCCUCCUAGCGUUGUGAUACACUUUCAACGAGUCGGAUUGUUUGGGAAUGCAGUCCAAAAUGGGUGGUAAAUUUCAUCUAAAGCUAAAUAUUGGCGAGAGACCGAUAGCGAACAAGUACCGUGAGGGAAAGAUGAAAAGAACUUUGAAAAGAGAGUUAAACAGUACGUGAAAUUGUCAAAAGGGAAGCGUUUGACACCAGUGUUGUUUUCUCGAAAAUCAAUUAAGAAUGUGGAUUCUGUAAGUUAGUAUUGACUUUAUCAGGCUUUCUGCUCUCUUUUCCGAAUCUUUCUUAAUGCACUUUUCGGUUAACAAGUCAACAUCAAUUUCUUUUGUUGUAAAAGAGGUCAUUGAGGAAGGUGGCUUUCUUUUCGGAGAAAGUGUUUAUAGCCUUUGGCUUCUGCAAUCGGAGAGAUUGAGGUCUGCAGCGUAGAUCCUUCGGGGUUAGAUACAUUUGUGCUAAGUUAUAGCCUUUCAUAGACAACUUGUUGACUAUGAUCAGUCAUGUAGCUUACUCGCUUAUGCUAUUUUACCUACGCUUAGGAUGUUGAUAGUCACAGCGUGUAC
rnacentral:rRNA from 1 species